rnacentral:rRNA from 1 species
UACGGAGGGUGCGAGCGUUGUCCGGAAUCAUUGGGCGUAAAGGGCGCGUAGGUGGCGGGACAAGCGUGCGGUGAAAGCUCGGGGCUCAACCCCGAGUCGGCCGUGCGAACUGUUUUGCUUGAGCACUGUAGAGGCAGGCGGAAUUCCGGGUGUAGCGGUGGAAUGCGUAGAGAUCCGGAAGAACACCGGUGGCGAAGGCGGUCUGCUGGGGUCGAACUGACGGCUGAGGCGCGACAGCGUGGGGAGCAACAGGA